rnacentral:rRNA from 1 species
GCCUGUUUACCAAAAACAUCACCUCCAGCAUUACCAGUAUUGGAGGCACUGCCUGCCCAGUGACAGACGUUAAACGGCCGCGGUAUCCUGACCGUGCAAAGGUAGCAUAAUCAUUUGUUCUUUAAAUAAGGACUUGUAUGAAUGGCCACACGAGGGUUUUACUGUCUCUUACUUCCAAUCAGUGAAAUUGACCUUCCCGUGAAGAGGCGGGAAUAAACAAAUAAGACGAGAAGACCCUAUGGAGCUUCAACUAACUAGUCCAAAGAACAUAAACUUAACCAUUAAGGGAUAAUAACAUUCUCCAUGAACUAGCAGUUUCGGUUGGGGUGACCUCGGAGAACAAACAAUCCUCCGAGCGAUUUUAAAGACAAGACACACAAGUCAAAUCAUUCUAUCGCUUAUUGAUCCAAAAACUUGAUCAACGGAACAAGUUACCCUAGGGAUAACAGCGCAAUCCUAUUCAAGAGUCCAUAUCGACAAUAGGGUUUACGACCUCGAUGUUGGAUCAGGACACCCCGAUGGUGCAACCGCUAUCAAAGGUUCGUUUGUUCAACGAUUAAAGUCCUACGUGAUGUGAGUUCAGACCGG